rnacentral:rRNA from 1 species
AUUGAACGCUGGCGGCAUGCCUUACACAUGCAAGUCGAACGGUAACAGGUCUUCGGAUGCUGACGAGUGGCGAACGGGUGAGUAAUACAUCGGAACGUGCCCGAUCGUGGGGGAUAACGAAGCGAAAGCUUUGCUAAUACCGCAUACGAUCUACGGAUGAAAGCAGGGGACCGCAAGGCCUUGCGCGAACGGAGCGGCCGAUGGCAGAUUAGGUAGUUGGUGGGAUAAAAGCUUACCAAGCCGACGAUCUGUAGCUGGUCUGAGAGGACGACCAGCCACACUGGGACUGAGACACGGCCCAGACUCCUACGGGAGGCAGCAGUGGGGAAUUUUGGACAAUGGGCGAAAGCCUGAUCCAGCCGUGCCGCGUGCAGGAUGAAGGCCUUCGGGUUGUAAACUGCUUUUGUACGGAACGAAAAGACUCUGGUUAAUACCUGGGGUCCAUGACGGUACCGUAAGAAUAAGCACCGGCUAACUACGUGCCAGCCGCCGCGGUAAAAC